UAGGUAGAAGCCAGUUGGUUUAGGCAUUUAGCUGUUAACUAUAGUUUUAUGGGAUCGAAGCCCAUCUACCUAG
rnacentral:tRNA from 1 species